rnacentral:lncRNA from 1 species
GUAAUUUGUUAAUCACAAGGAGUCGUGAUUGUGAGAUACAAAUUACAUCUGAUUGAAUCUUAAAUCAUCCGUGGUCGUAAGUAAUAACGAGAUACGGAUAUCGUUAUUACGGAUAGACCAUCACGUGUGGCAUUUCUUACUUGUGAAGUAAGUAGCUGAUCUCACAAGUUAAAGUAUGGUGACACUUAAAUGAACACGUGGAU